AGGGGUGUGGCUCAAUGAUAGAGCACUUGCUAGGCAUGCAUGUUGCCCUGGGUUUAAUCCCCAACACCACGA
rnacentral:tRNA from 1 species